rnacentral:rRNA from 1 species
UACAGAGGGGGCAAGCGUUAUUCGGAAUUAUUGGGCGUAAAGGGCGCGUAGGCGGCCUGGCAAGUGGAUGGUGAAAUCCCUCGGCUUAACCGAGGAACUGCCAUCCAGACUGCUUGGCUUGAGACCGGGAGAGGUGAGUGGAAUUCCCAGUGUAGCGGUGAAAUGCGUAGAUAUGACAUAGAACACCAAUUGCGAAGGCAGCUGGCUACAGGGAUAUUGACACUGAGGCACGAAAGCGUGGGGAUCAAACAGG